AUGGGUGGUUAGGUUGGCUGACCAAAGUCGGACCUGAUCAUUUAUUGGUUAGAUGAGCUGAGCAUAUUCAUGUUAAUAGUUCGAUCUAACCAAGACUUUCAGUGGAGGCCCUAGCCUACUGAAAUGAGACCUGAGAUAAAAUUAAUUAUUAAAAAUUAUUUAAAAAAAUAAUUAGUUAAGAACCUAUCCAUAGAUGCACAGGAUUGGC
rnacentral:lncRNA from 1 species